rnacentral:lncRNA from 1 species
ACCCAGAUUGAUUCAACACAAUGUGACUCAAUCAAUCAACCCUUGAACAGCGCUUUAAAAAAGUACAUCCAUUCUUUUAUACGUUUAAUUCAAUGAUAUACAGCCAUUGAUUCUUUAAGAAUAUCACUUAGAAAUGAGCUUAGUUCAACUGUCGUACCCCAUCCCUCAACAGUUUACCAAAAAAAAAGUGGCGGAGUAUCUUUGUUGUUAUUUGAAUCCCAGAUUGCCCCUUAAAAAUGAGCUCCUGGGAUGGUGGCGGGUGAACUGAACAGAGAGACGGUCCAGAGCAUGGGUACACAGAAAGCACUGCUUUAUUGACUACACUGGUCAACCACACCAUAGUGCCGGGGAGAGGAGGGGGGUCAUAGUGGAGGGACCAUGUCAGAGUCUGCUUUGAUCGGAGAGAUCACGGACUCAUCAAAAUGACGCAUGUGACCAUUAGGAGAUACGGGACAGAAAUAUUGGCUGCGUUUACAGGCAGCCCGAUUCAGAUUUUUUCUCUCUCACUAAUUGGUCUUUUGACCAAUCAGACCAGCUCUGAAAAAAGAUCUGAUGUGAUUGGUCAAAAGACCAAAUAGUGCCGGUGUAAGUCAACGUCAGAAAAAGGCACGCCAUUUCCUACAUAGUGCACUACUUUUGACCACAGCCCUAUGGGGGCCUGGUCAAAAGAAGUGCCCUAUAUAGGGAAGUGGGUGCCGUUUGUAAUGUAGCCUGAAUUUGGAAGCAGCAAAGUGAUGCCAGAUCAACUACAAAAAACAAGAGAGCUUGGCUCUGUUGCAGAGACACAACCGGUAAAUUAGCCCGACCUUAGGAGGAGCAGCUAUGGUUAUGGAUAAACCUUCUCUCCUGGAAAUGGAUUCAUACGUGUAUUCAUACAAGUCACGGAACAAAAGUAGCAAACAAACAUGGGAGCAAGUUGUUUGAACUGUGGAACUAAAACAUUUUGAAAUGCUAUUGAAUUUAAUGAGAGGAACACAUUCUGUGACCCUGCUGGUCAUAAAUAGCUUGAGGACAUCCUAAAUGGCACCCUUUUUCCUUCAUAGUGCACUACCUUUGACCAGGGCCAUAUGUACUAUAAUAGGGAAUAGGAUGCCAUUUGAGAUGUAGACGCUGUGUUGCCAGAGAGCAGCGGUUAGUUUCUGUGAGUGUUCUCCAUGGAGGAAGUGAGAGAACAAAAGGUCUCUCCCAGGCUUCAGCUGCACGCUGAUCAGCCCACUGGGGAGCCGGCCUGACCAUUUUAACUUCAAUUAGCCCAGAAACACACACAAAUGCUUGCACACACAGAUACACACUCGUGACUCGACAGACACAGACAAACAUGCACGCACACACAAGCAUUGACUCGGACAGACACUAAAACAAACACGCUCACUACUGGCUAUGCAGUUCCCACUUAUCAAAUCAAUUUCUCUCUGGUUCUGCAUAUAAAACAAAACCAGAGAAAGUAAAUAAUCCUAGCUCCAGUGAAAACAGAGAAGUGUUUGCACUUUACGUUUGUGAGCCACACAGAGGGAGGGACAGAGAGAGGGAGACAGAGAGGGAGGGAAGACAGAGAGAGGGGAAGACAGAGAGAGGGGAAGACAGAGAGAGGGGAAGACAGAGAGAGGGGAAGACAGAGAGAGGGGAAGACAGAGAGAGGGGAAGAGACAGAGAGAGAGGGGAAGAGACAGAGAGAGAGGGGGAGAGACAGAGAGAGAGGGGGAGAGACAGAGAGAGAGGGGGAGAGACAGAGAGAGAGGGGGAGAGACAGGGAGAGACAGGGAGAGACAGAGAGAGAGGGGGAGAGACAGAGAGAGAGGGGGAGAGACAGAGAGAGAGAGAGAGGGGGAGAGAGACAGAGAGAGACAGAGAGAGACAGAGAGGGGGAGAGAGACAGAGAGGGAGGGACAGAGAGAGAGGGAGUGGGGUGUUUAGAUUCCUGCCUGUUAAGUUCACCGUGGACAGGGCGCAAACACUAAGAGGAAAGAACAAACUGUCCUCUCUCUCUCACUCUCCCUCCCUCCCUCCACCAGUGUUUCCCUCUCUCCCUCUCGAUCUUUCGCUCUUCUGCCCAGAGCGGCAGCAGUGACAAACGCUCUCUCCAUUACACAACACACGCACGUCAUUAUUUGUCCUUAAAGCUUCUUCCUUUGACCCGCCUGUGCUUCAAAACUCUGAAGGAGCUGAGGCGGGCCGUCGGAAACACUGAAGAAGGGGAGGGAAGUGAGACAGAGCACUGGUCUGCGGGGUGGGUGUUGGAUUGGAACCAUACUUCCCAGUGUGGAAGCAGUCAGUCGACGGUCGGAGAAGCGCUAGUAAGGAAGCAGUCGGUCUGAUUAUGAGUCAGCAUUCUAGUUAUAUGAGCCGCGGCUGAAGCGUUACAAAAACAGCUUGCGAAGGCUUUUAACACGGAAACAAAAAGGUCUCUAGUACAGUAUUCUACAUUAUUGUUGGUGCAUUAAAAAAAAAACACAAAAAAACAUAAGUAAACGGCAGUCAAACUACUACAGCCUUGAACCAGUUCCCUAAGGGAUAAAGUUGAACCAGUUCCCUAAGGGAUAAAGUUGAACCAGUUCCCUAAGGGAUAAAGUUGAACCAGUUCCCU